rnacentral:lncRNA from 1 species
CACGAGACAGUCCCGUCGAGAAUAAUUCACCGGGUCAAUUUUUAUUUUUAAUUCUGGUCGAACCAACUCCAAAUUGGCCGAGUUGAAUUUUUCUCGACCAAAAUUCUAUCUGCUCGUGAGGGUUAUUACAUUCUUCCCCCCUCAAAAGAAUUCGUCCCCGAAUUCUGAAAACAUAGCUGUACACACUUUAUUGAACACUGUCUCUGAAAGGAGUUCUGGAUAUUAGCUCUGAACUUAUCUUCAUUUGCCCAUAUCAAAACAACUCAUGGUCGAUUCCUUAGUUCCCCCAACUGAUCCUUUCUUUUCUGAGCAGCCACUUUCAAGAUAACCAAACUCUUUACUCUGCACAACUCUUGUCAACUGCGGUCUGUAUACUUUUUCUAACAAUCUUGUAUUUGUAGACUAUCACUUCUCAACCUUUUCUAUCUGGCUUUCCCCCAUAACAGCAACAUGAAAUUUGGAACGUUAGGUGAUGUGCCAUAAGUGAAUGUAACAUCUACAGUCUGGUCAAUGUUAACUUGAUUAACCGUGCAACGAUCAAACAAGAACAUGCACGAUCAAUCACGCCAACAUGAUUUGGACCAGAGGUGCUACUCUCAAAUACACACACUCAUCCAUUCCAAGAAUGAUUUCACUUACAAUAUUCUUUACACUUCUGAUCUAUCUGAGACCCUCUUCAUAAUCUUCUGAACAAGUUAAUCUCUCUGAUGUUUCCCAUGAUCAAGUCUGGUUCCAUUGCUUUCUGAUUCUUUCUUCUGUCCAGCGACUGAGGAUUCAACAGGUCCGUCUAUACCAAGCUUGAUUCACCAACUGUGUACUCUUGUACGACGACUUCAUACUUUAUGUAUUGAUACAUCCUCUGAUAUUUUAACAACCUUGACAUUCCCAUAUGCCUUACGAUCAUACAUAUUCCUUAACUCAUCAUCCUUCUUCGAUGUUCACUUAACAUUUCUUCUCUACUCAUCUAGUUUAAUCUUCUGGUAAAAAUUGAGUUCUUUCUCCCACGUCUUUUCUAACUAACCUUGUGUACAUAACAGUCCUCAUAUAAUCCACUUAAAUUAUCUUCAUUCCGCUCCUCCUAAGUUUUCCUUAAGUUCUCAUUUCUCAACUGAGUUCCUUAGAUACAAACAAGUAAGCC